CCUACGGUGGGCAGCAGUAGGGAAUCUUCCACAAUGGGCGAAAGCCUGAUGGAGCAACGCCGCGUGGGUGACGAAGGUCUUCGGCUCGUCAAACCCUGUUGUUAGAGAAGCAAGUGCGUGAGAGUAACUGUUCACGUUUAGACGGUAUCUACCCAGAAAGCCACGGCUAACUACGUGCCAGCAGCCGCGGUAAUACGGAGCUUGCAAGCGUUAACCGGAGGUAUUGGGCGUAAAGGGAACGCAGGGGGUCAUUUAAGUCUGAUGUGAAAGCUUUCGGUUUAACCGGAGUAGUGCAAUGGAAAAUGGGAGACCUGAGUGCAGAAGAGGAGAGUGGAACUCCAUGUGUAGCGGUGAGAUGCGUAGAUAUAUGGAAGAACACCAGUGGCGAAAGCGGCUCUCUGCUGUAACUGACGCUGAGGUUCGAAAGCGUGGGUAGCAAACAGGAUUAGAUACCCGAGUAGUC
rnacentral:rRNA from 1 species